rnacentral:rRNA from 1 species
GGGAGCCUCUUUAUGGGGUGACUGCGUACCUUUUGUAUAAUGGGUCAGCGACUUAUAUUCUGUAGCAAGGUUAACCGAAUAGGGGAGCCGAAGGGAAACCGAGUCUUAACUGGGCGUUAAGUUGCAGGGUAUAGACCCGAAACCCGGUGAUCUAGCCAUGGGCAGGUUGAAGGUUGGGUAACACUAACUGGAGGACCGAACCGACUAAUGUUGAAAAAUUAGCGGAUGACUUGUGGCUGGGGGUGAAAGGCCAAUCAAACCGGGAGAUAGCUGGUUCUCCCCGAAAGCUAUUUAGGUAGCGCCUCGUGAACUCAUCUCCGGGGGUAGAGCACUGUUUCGGCAAGGGGGUCAUCCCGACUUACCAACCCGAUGCAAACUGCGAAUACCGGAGAAUGUUAUCACGGGAGACACACGGCGGGUGCUAACGUCCGUCGUGAAGAGGGAAACAACCCAGACCGCCAGCUAAGGUCCCAAAGUCAUGGUUAAGUGGGAAACGAUGUGGGAAGGCCCAGACAGCCAGGAUGUUGGCUUAGAAGCAGCCAUCAUUUAAAGAAAGCGUAAUAGCUCACUGGUCGAGUCGGCCUGCGCGGAAGAUGUAACGGGGCUAAACCAUGCACCGAAGCUGCGGCAGCGACGCUUAUGCGUUGUUGGGUAGGGGAGCGUUCUGUAAGCCUGCGAAGGUGUACUGUGAGGUAUGCUGGAGGUAUCAGAAGUGCGAAUGCUGACAUAAGUAACGAUAAAGCGGGUGAAAAGCCCGCUCGCCGGAAGACCAAGGGUUCCUGUCCAACGUUAAUCGGGGCAGGGUGAGUCGACCCCUAAGGCGAGGCCGAAAGGCGUAGUCGAUGGGAAACAGGUUAAUAUUCCUGUACUUGGUGUUACUGCGAAGGGGGGACGGAGAAGGCUAUGUUGGCCGGGCGACGGUUGUCCCGGUUUAAGCGUGUAGGCUGGUUUUCCAGGCAAAUCCGGAAAAUCAAGGCUGAGGCGUGAUGACGAGGCACUACGGUGCUGAAGCAACAAAUGCCCUGCUUCCAGGAAAAGCCUCUAAGCAUCAGGUAACAUCAAAUCGUACCCCAAACCGACACAGGUGGUCAGGUAGAGAAUACCAAGGCGCUUGAGAGAACUCGGGUGAAGGAACUAGGCAAAAUGGUGCCGUAACUUCGGGAGAAGGCACGCUGAUACGUAGGUGAAGUCCCUUGCGGAUGGAGCUGAAAUCAGUCGAAGAUACCAGCUGGCUGCAACUGUUUAUUAAAAACACAGCACUGUGCAAACACGAAAGUGGACGUAUACGGUGUGACGCCUGCCCGGUGCCGGAAGGUUAAUUGAUGGGGUUAGCGGUAACGCGAAGCUCUUGAUCGAAGCCCCGGUAAACGGCGGCCGUAACUAUAACGGUCCUAAGGUAGCGAAAUUCCUUGUCGGGUAAGUUCCGACCUGCACGAAUGGCGUAAUGAUGGCCAGGCUGUCUCCACCCGAGACUCAGUGAAAUUGAACUCGCUGUGAAGAUGCAGUGUACCCGCGGCAAGACGGAAAGACCCCGUGAACCUUUACUAUAGCUUGACACUGAACAUUGAGCCUUGAUGUGUAGGAUAGGUGGGAGGCUUUGAAGUGUGGACGCCAGUCUGCAUGGAGCCGACCUUGAAAUACCACCCUUUAAUGUUUGAUGUUCUAACGUUGGCCCCUAAUCGGGGUUGCGGACAGUGUCUGGUGGGUAGUUUGACUGGGGCGGUCUCCUCCUAAAGAGUAACGGAGGAGCACGAAGGUUGGCUAAUCCUGGUCGGACAUCAGGAGGUUAGUGCAAUGGCAUAAGCCAGCUUGACUGCGAGCGUGACGGCGCGAGCAGGUGCGAAAGCAGGUCAUAGUGAUCCGGUGGUUCUGAAUGGAAGGGCCAUCGCUCAACGGAUAAAAGGUACUCCGGGGAUAACAGGCUGAUACCGCCCAAGAGUUCAUAUCGACGGCGGUGUUUGGCACCUCGAUGUCGGCUCAUCACAUCCUGGGGCUGAAGUAGGUCCCAAGGGUAUGGCUGUUCGCCAUUUAAAGUGGUACGCGAGCUGGGUUUAGAACGUCGUGAGACAGUUCGGUCCCUAUCUGCCGUGGGCGCUGGAGAACUGAGGGGGGCUGCUCCUAGUACGAGAGGACCGGAGUGGACGCAUCACUGGUGUUCGGGUUGUCAUGCCAAUGGCACUGCCCGGUAGCUAAAUGCGGAAGAGAUAAGUGCUGAAAGCAUCUAAGCACGAAACUUGCCCCGAGAUGAGUUCUCCCUGACUCCUUGAGAGUCCUGAAGGAACGUUGAAGACGACGACGUUGAUAGGCCGGGUGUGUAAGCGCAGCGAUGCGUUGAGCUAACCGGUACUAAUGAACCGUGAGGCUUAACCUU